AUCCGUCUUGAAACACGGACCAAGGAGUCUAACAUGCGCGCGAGUCGUUGGGUCGGACACGCUCCGCUAAACCCAUAGGCGCAAUGAAAGUGAAGGUCGCCCUCCGCGGGACCGAGGGAGGACGGAGUCCGAUUGGACUCCCGCACUCCCGGGGCGUCUGAUUCCUCAUCGCGAGGGAAGGCGCACCCAGAGCGCACACGUUGGGACCCGAAAGUGGUGAACUAU
rnacentral:rRNA from 1 species